GUGUGUCUAAAAUUGUGUUUGAAACUAGAACCAUACAGAAAAUGGAGCUUCUGUCUUGAGCACAUUGAAGUGGAGUAUGCAAGCAGUCCCCCCAUUCUCUUUCAUAGACAAUUUCCUUAGAAAGAUCAAUGCUGAUAAAGUUUUGCCAAGAUCUUCAAUUUUUAGAUCAACCCAACUCAUAUUGAGCAUAAUAAAAGAAAAAGAUCGGUGAUUAGAUUGAAAUCCAUGAACAGAGGUAUCCAUGAAGAGUGUGAUCAUCUUGUUCAACUGGCCAAAGACAAGCUAAAGAAGUCCAUGGUGGCUGACAUUGAAUCAGGCAAGAGUGUAGAGGGCAAAGUUCGGAUUAGCUCUGGCAUGCUUCUUAACAAGGCCCAGCCAUGGAUAUGGAUCAAAAAGGGCCAGGGAAGAACAAGUGAAUGUGGACAGAUGAAGAGGAUAGAGAAUUGGUUUAUGCUUUUUUUGACAUGGUCAAUACAGGAAAUCACAAGGCUGACAAUGAUUUCAAGUCAGGCUUUCUUGGGGUGCUUGAAUGAGUGUUGCAUGAGAAGUUGCCGGGGUGUGGAAUUAAGGCUAAGCCACACAUAGAAUCUAGGGCUACGUUACACGGACUCGUUCAUUUUUGGGAGGUACCCGUGUCGACACGACACGGGUACGGGAUACGUACGGGACACGGCCAAAUGAAAACGGAUACGGCUGAUUGUUUUCUAUAAUAUUUUUGUUACAGAAUUUCUUUUUUGUUCUUCGUUUGAACAGGAAGAGGAUAAGAUCAGAAGAAUCAAACCAACAAAAUACAAAACUUCACAACAUGAUUUGAAUGGAAAGGAAAAGAAGCCUGAAAUGGAGAAGUAAAGUUGAGGCUGAGGUCACCAGAAAGCUGAAGAGUUGAAGUCGUCGGUGCCUUAUUGCAACCUUUUCUGCUUCGUCGAUGCAUUCCCAUAAUUUUUGAACUGAAUUGUCUUCGGCUGAUUUUUUUUUUGAACUGAAUCGUCUUCGGCUGAUUCGUCUUCCUUUCGUCUUCCAAUGAAUUUGUGGUGUUCCUGCCUCUGUUUUUUUAUUUUUUUUCUUAUUUUUUGAACUAGUUCGUCUUCUUCUGGGCUGAUGCAUUCCCUCUGUUUUUUGUUCUUGCCUCUCUCUCUCUCUCUUCUAUUCUAGAUCUGUCUUUUGAUCUGCCCCCUCUCUCUCAGAUCUGCCUUUUGAUCCCCCCUCUCUUUUAUUCUUUAUUUAUUAUAUUUCAUCCCUCCCUUUUAUUCAUUUUAUAAAAAUAUUUUUUUAAAAACAAUUGGGCUGAACAUCAGAAGAUCCACAACUUUAAAAUUGGGCUAUAAGUACUCUUGGCUUUCCAGUGUUAAACUUACUUAUUUGUUAAACAAUUGUCUUCACUACCAAUUGGCUACAAAAGAUUGACAUAAAUUUUGGGCCUACUAAAAUUUGGGGCUAUUAAAAUUUUGGCCAACAAAUCUUUUAAUACCAUGGGUUGUUAUGUAACUAAUUUAUAUUUUUGUUAUUUAUAAUAUAUAUGUCAAUUAAAAGUAAAAAAAUAAAUUAUAUAGAUAAAUUAAAAAAAUUAUCAAUAAAAGUAAUACAUAAGAUAAAAAUAAUAAAUAUAUUUAAAAAAUAACUAUUUCACUUAUUAUUAUAUAAUAAAUAUAUUUUAAAAAUUAAAUAUUUAACGUAUCCCUGUAUCCGUAUUCUCGUUUGGAUCCAUAUCCACGUAUCCUCGAUUUUUAGUUUUGAAGUGCCCGACCCCUAGAUACGUACCCACACCCGAGUCCGUGUAACGUAGAUCUAGGGUCAAGACAUUGAAAAGUGACACUGGAACUGUGUUUGAUAUGGUUAACCGAGUGGGCUGCAGUGGAUUUGGAUGGGAUUCCAUCAAAAAUAUGGUGGUUGCUGAAAAACAAGUUUGGGAUGGCUAUGUGCAGAGCCACAAGCUGCUCACUGGAAAAAUACGAGUUUCCCACAUUGUGACAUGUUGUGCAUCAUCUUCGAGAAAGAUCGUGCUAUGGGAAAAGAUGCAGUUACUGCUGAUGAUGUCUUGGAGGAAGUGAGCAGAAAU